GGGUUGUGAGGUUAAGCGACUAAGCGUACACGGUGGAUGCCCUGGCAGUCAGAGGCGAUGAAGGACGUGCUAAUCUGCGAUAAGCGUCGGUAAGGUGAUAUGAACCGUUAUAACCGGCGAUUUCCGAAUGGGGAAACCCAGUGUGAUUCGUCACACUAUCAUUAACUGAAUCCAUAGGUUAAUGAGGCGAACCGGGGGAACUGAAACAUCUAAGUACCCCGAGGAAAAGAAAUCAACCGAGAUUCCCCCAGUAGCGGCGAGCGAACGGGGAGCAGCCCAGAGCCUGAAUCAGUGUGUGUGUUAGUGGAAGCGUCUGGAAAGGCGCGCGAUACAGGGUGACAGCCCCGUACACAAAAAUGCACAUACUGUGAGCUCGAUGAGUAGGGCGGGACACGUGGUAUCCUGUCUGAAUAUGGGGGGACCAUCCUCCAAGGCUAAAUACUCCUGACUGACCGAUAGUGAACCAGUACCGUGAGGGAAAGGCGAAAAGAACCCCGGCGAGGGGAGUGAAAAAGAACCUGAAACCGUGUACGUACAAGCAGUGGGAGCACAGAGCAAUCUGUGUGACUGCGUACCUUUUGUAUAAUGGGUCAGCGACUUAUAUUCUGUAGCAAGGUUAACCGAAUAGGGGAGCCGAAGGGAAACCGAGUCUUAACUGGGCGUUAAGUUGCAGGGUAUAGACCCGAAACCCGGUGAUCUAGCCAUGGGCAGGUUGAAGGUUGGGUAACACUAAUUGGAGGACCGAACCGACUAAUGUUGAAAAAUUAGCGGAUGACUUGUGGCUGGGGGUGAAAGGCCAAUCAAACCGGGAGAUAGCUGGUUCUCCCCGAAAGCUAUUUAGGUAGCGCCUCGUGAAUUCAUCUCCGGGGGUAGAGCACUGUUUCGGCAAGGGGGUCAUCCCGACUUACCAACCCGAUGCAAACUGCGAAUACCGGAGAAUGUUAUCACGGGAGACACACGGCGGGUGCUAACGUCCGUCGUGAAGAGGGAAACAACCCAGACCGCCAGCUAAGGUCCCAAAGUCAUGGUUAAGUGGGAAACGAUGUGGGAAGGCCCAGACAGCCAGGAUGUUGGCUUAGAAGCAGCCAUCAUUUAAAGAAAGCGUAAUAGCUCACUGGUCGAGUCGGCCUGCGCGGAAGAUGUAACGGGGCUAAACCAUGCACCGAAGCUGCGGCAGCGACGCUGAUGCGUUGUUGGGUAGGGGAGCGUUCUGUAAGCCUGUGAAGGUGUGCCGUGAGGCAUGCUGGAGGUAUCAGAAGUGCGAAUGCUGACAUAAGUAACGAUAAAGCGGGUGAAAAGCCCGCUCGCCGGAAGACCAAGGGUUCCUGUCCAACGUUAAUCGGGGCAGGGUGAGUCGACCCCUAAGGCGAGGCCGAAAGGCGUAGUCGAUGGGAAACAGGUUAAUAUUCCUGUACUUGGUGUUACUGCGAAGGGGGACGGAGAAGGCUAUGUUGGCCGGGCGACGGUUGUCCCGGUUUAAGCGUGUAGGCUGGUUUUCCAGGCAAAUCCGGAAAAUCAAGGCUGAGGCGUGAUGACGAGGCACUACGGUGCUGAAGCAACAAAUGCCCUGCUUCCAGGAAAAGCCUCUAAGCAUCAGGUAACAUCAAAUCGUACCCCAAACCGACACAGGUGGUCAGGUAGAGAAUACCAAGGCGCUUGAGAGAACUCGGGUGAAGGAACUAGGCAAAAUGGUGCCGUAACUUCGGGAGAAGGCACGCUGAUAUGUAGGUGAAGUCCCUCGCGGAUGGAGCUGAAAUCAGUCGAAGAUACCAGCUGGCUGCAACUGUUUAUUAAAAACACAGCACUGUGCAAACACGAAAGUGGACGUAUACGGUGUGACGCCUGCCCGGUGCCGGAAGGUUAAUUGAUGGGGUCAGCGCAAGCGAAGCUCUUGAUCGAAGCCCCGGUAAACGGCGGCCGUAACUAUAACGGUCCUAAGGUAGCGAAAUUCCUUGUCGGGUAAGUUCCGACCUGCACGAAUGGCGUAAUGAUGGCCAGGCUGUCUCCACCCGAGACUCAGUGAAAUUGAACUCGCUGUGAAGAUGCAGUGUACCCGCGGCAAGACGGAAAGACCCCGUGAAUCUUUACUAUAGCUUGACACUGAACAUUGAGCCUUGAUGUGUAGGAUAGGUGGGAGGCUUUGAAGUGUGGACGCCAGUCUGCAUGGAGCCGACCUUGAAAUACCACCCUUUAAUGUUUGAUGUUCUAACGUUGACCCGUAAUCCGGGUUGCGGACAGUGUCUGGUGGGUAGUUUGACUGGGGCGGUCUCCUCCUAAAGAGUAACGGAGGAGCACGAAGGUUGGCUAAUCCUGGUCGGACAUCAGGAGGUUAGUGCAAUGGCAUAAGCCAGCUUGACUGCGAGCGUGACGGCGCGAGCAGGUGCGAAAGCAGGUCAUAGUGAUCCGGUGGUUCUGAAUGGAAGGGCCAUCGCUCAACGGAUAAAAGGUACUCCGGGGAUAACAGGCUGAUACCGCCCAAGAGUUCAUAUCGACGGCGGUGUUUGGCACCUCGAUGUCGGCUCAUCACAUCCUGGGGCUGAAGUAGGUCCCAAGGGUAUGGCUGUUCGCCAUUUAAAGUGGUACGCGAGCUGGGUUUAGAACGUCGUGAGACAGUUCGGUCCCUAUCUGCCGUGGGCGCUGGAGAACUGAGGGGGGCUGCUCCUAGUACGAGAGGACCGGAGUGGACGCAUCACUGGUGUUCGGGUUGUCAUGCCAAUGGCACUGCCCGGUAGCUAAAUGCGGAAGAGAUAAGUGCUGAAAGCAUCUAAGCACGAAACUUGCCCCGAGAUGAGUUCUCCCUGACCCUUUAAGGGUCCUGAAGGAACGUUGAAGACGACGACGUUGAUAGGCCGGGUGUGUAAGCGCAGCGAUGCGUUGAGCUAACCGGUACUAAUGAACCGUGAGGCUUAACCUUACAACGCCGAAGGUGUUU
rnacentral:rRNA from 1 species